rnacentral:rRNA from 1 species
UAGGUAGGUGGUCCCGUUUGUUUGGGGUGAAAGCCUUAGGCUUAACCUAAGAAGUGCCUCAAAAACGGUGGGACUAGAGUCCUGGAGAGGGUCGUGGAAUUCCCGGUGUAGCGGUGAAAUGCGUUGAGAUCGGGAGGAACACCAGAGGCGAAAGCGGCGGCCUGGACAGGAACUGACACUAAACUACGAAAGCGUGGGGAUCAAACA